CCUACGGGAGGCAGCAGUGGGGAAUAUUGCACAAUGGGGGAAACCCUGAUGCAGCGACGCCGCGUGAGUGAAGAAGUAUUUCGGUAUGUAAAGCUCUAUCAGCAGGGAAGAAAAUGACGGUACCUGACUAAGAAGCCCCGGCUAACUACGUGCCAGCAAGCGCGGUAAUACGUAGGGGGCAAGCGUGAUCCGGAUUUACUGGGUGUAAAGGGAGCGUAGACGGCCAGACAAGUCAGAAGGUAAAGCCGAGGGGUCAAACCUGGGACUGCUUUUGAAACUGCCGGGCUUGAGUGCAGGAGAGGUAAGCGGAAUUCGUGGUGUAGCGGUGAAAUGCGUAGAUAUUAGGCGGAACACCAGUGGCGAAGGCGGCUUACUGGACUGUAACUGACGUUGAGGCUCGAAAGCGUGGGGAGCAAACAGGAUUAGAUACCCGAGUAGUC
rnacentral:rRNA from 1 species